ensembl:snRNA U2 U2 spliceosomal RNA
AUCGCUUCUCGGCCUUUUGGCUAAGAUCAAGUGUAGUUAUUUCUAUGUAAAUGUAUACAUUUGUAUUAGGUUUUGUACAGCAGUGGGAUCACACUCUAUAUACUCUUUUGUAACUUAUUUAUCAUGAGAACUUUUC